UACGUAGGGGGCAAGCGUUAUCCGGAUUUACUGGGUGUAAAGGGAGCGUAGACGGCGAUGCAAGUCUGAAGUGAAAGGCGGGGGCCCAACCCCCGGACUGCUUUGGAAACUGUAUAGCUGGAGCGCAGGAGAGGUAAGUGGAAUUCCUAGUGUAGCGGUGAAAUGCGUAGAUAUUAGGAGGAACACCAGUGGCGAAGGCGGCUUACUGGACUGUAACUGACGUUGAGGCUCGAAAGCGUGGGGAGCAAACAGG
rnacentral:rRNA from 1 species